rnacentral:lncRNA from 1 species
GUGUAUUCGACGUUCAUACGUCUCUAUCUGUGAUCAGACGGUCCAGAAGCGUACGCCUGGAUGCUGGCUCAGGGUGGAAGGGGGUUCACGUGCAUGGCAUCCAGCGGCUGAAAAGCUGGGAUCAAGAAAAAGGGACAGGGCAGUGGGUGAAUCAUAACCGUUGGUUUGUUGUGAUGGCAAGCUACUGGACUCUGGCACUGGCAUCAGAAGCCCUGUCAGCCACCUGAGUCGCGCACUCGAUUGCCGACGACCUCUAAGCUCA